UACGUAGGGGGCUAGCGUUGUCCGGAAUCAUUGGGCGUAAAGCGCGUGUAGGCGGUCCGGUAAGUCCGCUGUGAAAGUCGGGGGCUCAACCCUCGAAUGCCGGUGGAUACUGUCGGGCUAGAGUGCGGAAGAGGCGAGUGGAAUUCCUGGUGUAGCGGUGAAAUGCGCAGAUAUCAGGAAGAACACCCGUGGCGAAGGCGGCUCUCUGGGACGGUACUGACGCUGAGACGCGAAAGCGUGGGGAGCAAACAGG
rnacentral:rRNA from 1 species